AGCAGCCGCGGUAAUUCCAGCUCCAAUAGCGUAUAUUAAAGUUGUUGCAGUUAAAAAGCUCGUAGUUGAAUUUCGGGAUCAGUACGUCGGUCGUGCCUUCGGUAUGCACUGGUGUCACUGGUUCCUCCCUUCUGACGAACCGUCAUGCCAUUAAUUUGGUGUGGCGGGAAAUCAGGACUGUUACUUUGAAAAAAUUAGAGUGUUUAAAGCAGGCUCACGCUUGAAUACAUUAGCAUGGAAUAAUGAAAUAGGACGUUGAUCUUAUUUUGUUGGUUUCUAGGAUUGACGUAAUGAUUAAUAGGGAUAGUUGGGGGCAUUAGUAUUCAAUUGUCAGAGGUGAAAUUCUUGGAUUUAUUGAAGACUAACUACUGCGAAAGCAUUUGCCAAGGAUGUUUUCAUUAAUCAAGAACGAAAGUUAGGGGAUCGAAGACGAUCAGAUACCGUCGUAGUCUUAACCAUAAACUAUGCCGACUAGGGAUCGGAUGAUGUUAAUUUUUUAAUGACUCAUUCGGCGU
rnacentral:rRNA from 1 species